AUCUCUCUCUCCCUCCUCCCGUCCCCUGCCUGCGGGAGGGGAGCGGUGCAGCAGACAUCCGAGGGCAGCUGGGACCCCCUGACUCAGCCGACGGGUGAGUCAGGCCCCCUGCAGGCCACCCCGGACCCCCCAGGGCGGGGAUUUCCCCAAGAUGAGAAAUCAGCCACCGGAAGUCACGCCGGACCUUGGACGGGCAGACAGAGGCUGGGAGGAGUUCUGGGUGCAGAGCCCCCAACCUGCACACUCAUCUCUUGCUCUGGGUAAGCCAGUGGCCAUGCUAUAAGGGACACUCAAGCCACCCUACGAAGAAGCCCACAUGAAAAGGAACUGAGAUAUCUGGCCAACAGCCAGCCGGUCACUGAGCCUGCCAACCACACUGUGGCAGGUACCUCCAGCCCCAGACGCCUGCAGCCCCCACUGAAAGCUCAACGGUAGCCUCAUGAGACCCUGGACUGGAACCACCCAGCGAAGCGGCUCCUCAAUUCCUGAUUGACAGAAACUAUGGAAUCAUAAAUGCUUGCUGUUCAGUCUGCCAAGUGUUGGCGUGAUUUGUUACACAGCAAUCAGCAACUAAUACGCCACCCAUGGCUGCCGUGUUCCUGCUGUGGGGCCAGCACUGUUCCAUGCUCAGAGGCUCCAUCAAUACCUGUGAUGGACUAAAUGAGACAGGGUCUUGCUAUAUUGCCCAGGCUGGUCUUUAACUUCUAGGCUCAAGUGAGUUCAGCCUCAGCCUCCCAAAGUGCUUGGAUUACAGACAUGAGCCACCAUGCACAGCUUAAAAUUUAUGAUGCCGAUGGUUGCAUAACUGUGAAUAUACUAAAAACCACUGAGGCGGGGUUUGGUGACUAAACACCUGUAAUCCUAGCACUUUGGGAGGCCGAGGUGGGAGGAUCACUUGACAUCAGGAGUUUGAGACCAGCCUAGGCAACAUAGCAAGACUCCAUCUCUACAAAAAAUUUAAAAAUAAAAACCAUUAGGCCCGGCAUGGUGGCUCAUGCCUGUAAUCCCAGCACUUUGGGAGGCCAAUGUGGGUGGAUCACCUGAGGUUAGGAGUUCGAGACCAGGCUGGCCAACAUGGUGAAACCCCAUCUCUACUAAAAAUACAUAAAGUAGCCCGGCGUGGUGGUGGGCACCUGUAAUCCCAGCUACUCAGGAGGAUGAAACAGGAGGAUCACUUGAACCCGGGAGGCAGAGAUUGCAAUGAGCCAAGAUCACGCCACUGCACUUCAGCCUGUGUGACAAGAGUGAAACUCCAUCUCGAAAAUAAAAACGAAAACAAUAACAACAACAGCAACAAAGAACCAUUGCAUUGUGCACAUUAAAUGAAUUGUAUGGUAUGUGAAUUCUAGCUCAAUAAAGCUUCUUAUGCUAAAACAUGACGAAGAAGAAGAGGAGGAGGAGAAGAGGCAAAGUCAUUGGUGCCCAAGGAAUGGCACCAGGAGUGGUCUCCAGGAAGGCUGGCCACCUGCAGGGCUGGGAGAGCUCUGUGAUGCUGACAUCAGGGGCCUUCCUCAUGCCUGGGAAAGAGGACAUGGGCUAAGGGCGGCUAACCAAGGCCUGGGAGAAUACUGAGAGGUGAACAGGCGAUGUGGGUGUGGGGCACU